ensembl:lncRNA
CUUCAUCUACAACCCUUCAAGUCAUAGGGGACACGUCAUCUACUAACCCUUCAAAUCAUAGGGGACACGUCAUCUACUAACCCUUCAAAUCACAAAUUGUAGAUGGACUGAGGUGGAUGAUAGAUGGACUGAGGUGGAUGAUAGAGGGACUGAGGAGGAUGAUAGAUGGACUGAGGUGGAUGAUAGAUGGGCAAAGGUGGAUGAUAGAUGGACUGAGGUGGAUGAUAGAGGGACUGAGAUGGAUGAUAGAUGGAUGAUAGAUGGACUGAGGUGGAUGAUAGAUGGACUGAGGUGGAUGAUAGAUGGGCAAAGGUGGAUGAUAGAUGGACUGAGGUGGAUGAUAGAGGGACUGAGAUGGAUGAUAGAUGGAUGAUAGAUGGACUGAGGUGGACGAUAGAUGGACUGAGGAGGAUGAUAGAUGGACUGAGGUGGAUGAUAGAGGGACUGAGAUGGAUGAUAGAUGGAUGAUAGAUGGACUGAGGUGGAUGAUAGAUGGAUGAUAGAUGGACUGAGGUGGAUGAUAGAUGGAUGAUAGAGGGACUGAGGAGGAUGAUAGAUGGACUGAGGUGGAUGAUAGAUGGACUGAGGUGGAUGAUAGAUGGACUGAGGUGGAUGAUAGAUGGACUGAGGUGGAUGAUAGAUGGACUGAGGUGGAUGAUAGAUGGAUGAUUGAUGGACUGAGGUGGAUGAAUAAAUAAAAAUGAAUAAAUAAAAAUGAGAAUCAAAUUGUCAACGGGAAAACAGUAACAACAAUAACCAAGUGUCAAAAUAACCAACAACAACAAUAAGCAUACAGUAGAGUACAUGUGCAGGUUGAUCGGUCUGUCAGACACCGUCCCUCAACUUAUGGCAGGCAGCAAUGUAGAGCGCUGCCAACCCACAGCUCUCUGCGUCCUCCCCCAACAGGAUGGGUAGCCUACUCUCAUCAGAGAGGUCUUUGAAACCUUGAAUAAGGGUUUAAACUUUGGGAAUUUCUCUCUCUCUCUCUCUCUCUCUCUCUCUCUCUGUCUCUCUCUCUCUCUCUCUCUCUCUCUGU